UCUUGACCUUGUAAGGCCUUUUAUUGGCCUUGUAAGACCUGA
rnacentral:siRNA from 1 species